GGUAGCGUGGCCGAGUCUAGGCGCUGGUUUAAGGCACCAGUCAUUUCGAUGGCGUGGGUUCGAAUCCCACCGCUGCCA
rnacentral:tRNA from 1 species